rnacentral:lncRNA from 1 species
UGUGCCUGUAGUCCCAGCUACUUGGGAGGCUGAGGCGGGAGAGUCGCUUGAACCUGGGAGGCAGAGAUUGCAGUGAGCCGAGAUCGCGCCACCGCACUCCAGCCUGGGUGACAGAGCGAGACUCUGUCUUAAAAACAAAAACAAACAAAAAAGAAACCUGGUAUGUAAGUAGCUAAAUAUAGAGACGUAUAGGAGGCAUCUUGUAAUGUGUGAUUAUUCAUUUGAUUUUAUUCAGUGUGCUAUUAAGAAGGGCCCUUCCUUCUAAAGAAAAUUAGAACAUUUUCAAAGCUUGCGUCUGAAUCCUGUCUCACUACUCAGUAAUGGAGUGACCCAGGAAACCGCAUCACCUCCCCAAGCCCCAGUCCCUGUGAAAUGGGGAGUGUAGUAAGACCUGCUUCCUAGGGCUGUUGGGAGGAUCAGGUGAGACAAUCUGAUUGAAGGACUUGGACCAGUGCCUGAUAAAUAAUAAGCACUUGGUAAGUUAUUAUUAGGGCUGGGAGAGCAAUAACUUCAGCUGCGAAAGCUAAUACUAGUCUAUCCUGAUGACGGCAUCAGAUACUUAUUUUCAAGUUUCUUCUGAAGACAAAUUUUAAUUGACACUUGAAAACCAGGAAGAGCAUGAAAAAGAGGACUCAGUGUAGCCUCUAAAGGCUGUUGAGCCUGAAGAGGUGUUGGAAUGCCGUGCCCGCCUUGUGGUGCAGGCUUCAGCAGUUUAGGCCCAGAGGACUGUGGGUCCCACCUGCCUGACAGCAGGGCACACAGGUGCUGAGCAGUUGGCCAUUACUGGGCUGUGAAAACAGCAUGAAUGGGGAAUGGAGACUGUGGGCAAAGCAGUACAGUCCACUUGUUCGCAGGUGGGAAAGUCAAACUCUGUCUUUAUUCUUUUUUUUUUUUCUUUUUGAGAUGAGUCUCGCUCUGUCGCCCAGGCUGGAGUGCAGUGGCGCGAUCUCGGCUCACUGCAAGCUCCGCUUCCUGGGUUCACGCCAUUCUCCUGCCUCAGCCUCCCGAGUAGCUGGGACUACAGGCGCCCGCCACCGCGCCCGGCUAAUUUUUUUUUUGUAUUUUUAGUAGAGACGGGGUUUCACCGUGUUAGCCAGGAUGGUCUCGAUCUCCUGACCUUGUGAUCCGUCCGCCUCGGCCUCCCAAAGUGCUGGGAUUACAGGCGUGAGCCACCGCGCCCGGCUGUCUUUAUUCUUUUACCAUUUUAUUUGGGAUAAGUAGCAGCACUGCCUGGGAAGACCCUUGGGAGGGAGAAGGAAUCUGUUGGAUGGAAAUCUUACCUUUGAGCAUCAGUUAUAUUUAAUGCCUAGUUUCAGCCCUUUUCAUAUUAGACUUUCCAACAGCAAGUCAAGGAAAGUCAAGGAGCGAAAGGAAGAUGGGCUCAGAGGAAAGGUUUUUUUUUUUUUUUUUUUUUUGAGAUGGAGUCUUGCUCUGUCACCGAGGCUGGAGUGCAGUGGUGCGAUCUUGGCUCACUGCAAUCUCUGCCUCCUGGGCUCAAGCGAUUCUCCUGCCUCAGCCUCCUGAGUAGCUGGGAUUACAGGCAUGUGCCACUACACCCGGCUAAUUUUCUUAUUUUUAGUAGAGAUGGGGUUUUGCCACGUUGGCCAGGCUGGUCUCGAACUCCUGACCUCAAGUCAUCUGCCUGCCUCGGCCUCCCAAAGUGCUGGGAUUACAGGCAUGAGCCACUGCGCCCGGCUGGAAAGGUUCUUUUAAGAGUUCCACAAAGUGGCCAAAAGUUUAUUCUUGCAUUUUAUCAUGCGUAUGCCUUGGAGUUAUGUUUUUGGAAUAUGACUUAAGAAAACAAACUUUCCAGGUAACACGUAGCCGGUUCCCAUCUUUCUAGCAUCUCUGCCUUUGGCUGAUGUGACGCCAUACGUUCCUGACAGUUAAUGUUGGCUCUGUAGGGAUCUGAUGCCAAGUACAGUCAUAGCUCAGCCAUGACACAGGGCCUUCCAGAUAGGCCAGAUUCAGUGCCCUUCCCAACAGAUGCCUCUCCAUCCCCCACACCUCCCGACUCCACCAAAAUGAAGUGGAAGCACGUCUUGAGUUGCCCAUUUCUUCUGUGUCUGGUCAGGCACACGUCAAGAAUGUUGGCUGGUGAUGGGCUCAAGGCAGGCACAGCCCGCUUCACUGUGCAUGUGUGCAGGCUUGAUUGACACUGGCAAAAUCUGCAAGGAUAUUUCUAGACAUUCCAAGUGAUUG